rnacentral:rRNA from 1 species
AGAAUCAACGCUGGCGGCGUGCCUAACACAUGCAAGUCGCACGAGAAAGGGUAGCAAUACCUGAGUAAAGUGGCGCACGGGUGAGUAACACGUGAAUUAUCUACCUCCGAGUGGGGAAUAACUGAGAGAAAUCUUAGCUAAUACCGCAUAACAUCCUGCCUUUUAAGAGGUGGAGAUCAAAGCCGGGGACCGCAAGGCCUGGCACUUGAAGAGGGGCCCGCGUCUGAUUAGCUAGUUUGUGGGGUAACGGCCUACCAAGGCAACGAUCAGUA